GACGAACGCUGGCGGCGUGCCUAAUACAUGCAAGUAGAACGCUGAAGGAGGAGCUUGCUUCUCCGGAUGAGUUGCGAACGGGUGAGUAACGCGUAGGUAACCUGCCUGGUAGCGGGGGAUAACUAUUGGAAACGAUAGCUAAUACCGCAUAAGAGUAGAUGUCGCAUGACAUUUGCUUAAAAGGUGCAACUGCACCACUACCAGAUGGACCUGCGUUGUAUUAGCUAGUUGGUGAGGUAACGGCUCACCAAGGCAACGAUACAUAGCCGACCUGAGAGGGUGAGCGGCCACACUGGGAAUGAGACACGGCCCAGACUCCUACGGGAGGCAGCAGUAGGGAAUCUUCGGCAAUGGACGGAAGUCUGACCGAGCAACGCCGCGUGAGUGAAGAAGGUUUUCGGAUCGUAAAGCUCUGUUGUAAGAGAAGAACGAGUGUGAGAGUGGAAAGUUCACACUGUGACGGUAUCUUACCAGAAAGGGACGGCUAACUACGUG
rnacentral:rRNA from 1 species